GGGACACACCUGAUGCUGAGUGACCCCAGAGUGGAUUGGAGGCAACAGAAGCAACAACAGCAAUUUAAUGAGCUGCCCAACAUGGCAGAACGAGAGCGACGGCUGCAUUCGCUGGAACAACGGAAUCAAAAUCUGAUGGAGAAGGUCAGAUCGCUUCAGAAGGCGAAUACAAAUUUGCGUCAAAUGAAUUCAAGGCUGAAGGAAGAAAACGAAGUCUUCAAGUCAACAGAAGAAAUCUUACUUAGGGACAACGACAAAAUCAAGAAGAAAGUCCAUCAACUGAAGGAGCUUCAAGAAUCUCUGCAAGAUGAUAUUUACGUUCUGGAAGAACAGCUGUGUGCCUGUACCUGCCAAGGAGAGGGCAAAAGAAGAGAGACUAUAGAGCAGACCCCUCUGGAGAGUGAACCAAAGCCAUGAAAUGAGAGAUCCAUAUCACUCCUUUGGAAGAAGACAGUGCCUUUAGGACCUCUAGAUCGCCGAGCUUCAACGUCUGGAAUAAAUGCCCCUUUUUGCCUUCUCUAGGAUCCUUUUGCUAUCCAUCUUUUGAAAGAUCUGGACUCCUUUCGCAUUACUUAGUUACAUGUUCAGGUCCUGAACCAGGGCUUGGCGGCUGUGUACUUCCUCAUUCCAAACGGGAGCUGGACGAGUUUUUUAUGGUGUCGUAAAUUAGUUAAAUUUGCCUCCCUGCAGAGCGGUACCUAAAUUCCUACUUGAUAGAUGCAACUACCCUGUUUCCCUGAAAAUAAGACAUCUCCAGAAAAUAAGACCUAGUAGAGAUUUUGCUGAAUUGCUAAAUAUAAGGCCUCCCCCGAGAGUAAGACCUAGCAAAGUUUGUGUUUGGAAGCAUGCCCACCAAACAGAACACCAGGGCAUGCAGGAUUUUGUAAAUGUACGUACUAUAGAUUGUUGUACAUGGAAAUAAUAGUAGUAACAAGAAGUUCUUGAUAAGAUUCACAGUUUGUUUGGUUAUGCUGGUUUGUGAUGACAACUACUGUACAGUAUAUAAUGUUCAUUUUUUCUUCAACAAGAAAUGUGAAUUCUUCUUCUUGGAAACAUAAGACAUCCCCUGAAAAUAAGACCUAGCGCAUCUUUGGGAGCAAAAAUUAAUAUAAGACACUGUCUUAUUUUCAGGGAAACACGGUAUCUUUCAGUUGCUUAGGUCAACAACAAGCAGGGGCUAUUUUUUAUUUUAAUUGUUGGGUGGUUAAGUGACUACAUGGCUGGCCUCGAACUCACGGCCUCUUAGUCAGAGUGAUUUUAUGCAACUGGCUACCAGUCUGCUCCACUGGCUGCCAGUCUGCUACCGAGCACUAUUCAAAGUGCUGGCUUUGGUCUAUAAAGUUCUAAAUGACUCUGGUCCAACUUACCUGUUUAAACAUAUCUCUCCCUAAGAACCUGUUAGAGAGUUAAGAUCUGCAGGGGAGGUCCUGCUCUCAGUCCCACCCCCAUCACAAGCACGACUGGUGGGGACGAGAAACAGGGCCUUCUCUGUGGUGGCCCCUUGGCUAUGGAACUCCCUUCCUAGUGAUUUCAGACCGGCCCCUUCCCUCCUGGUGUUUAGAAAGAAAGUGAAGACCUGGCUUUGCAAUCAGGCAUUUGGCUAGUGCAAUACAGAAUCAGUUCAAUGUAGGACGCAAAUGACGACCUUAGGACUGGGUACUAUGUUUUAAUUAUGUUUUAAUAGAUUUAUCUAUAUAUAUAAAAGGGUCAUGAAAUUUCGGCCUAGGACAAAACAACAAAACUACACAUCCCAGAAACACUAAACUUGGCAGCACAAUCCCUCAUCCAUGCCUUUACGUUCAUACAACAAAAAGAAAAAUAAAGUCCUAAUUAGAGGGAGAGGAAUAAUUGUUUUUAUCCAAUUGCUGCCUGUUAGAAGGCUAAGCUCCACCCACUUGGUCUCCUAGCAACCCACUCAGCCCAGGGGACAGGCAGAGUUAGGCCUCACUUAGGCCUCUUCCACACUGCCUAUAAAAUACAGAUUUUCUGAUUUUAACUGGAUUAUAUCGCAGUGUAGACUCAAGGCCCUUCCACACAGCUAUAUAACCCAUUUAUAAUGGACUUAAUAUCAGGGGAAAACCUUUACCCUUUACCUUAACUACUACCAAUUCCUCAAUACUUUAUUUCCCAUACCACCAUACUUCGCCACAGCAAUGCAUGGCCGGGCACAGCUAGUGAUAUUCAUAUUUAUAUUGUUUAUUGUACUGAUGUAUUGCUUUUAUGUUGUGGAAUAUGCGGCAUAGAAUAUUGCCAUUAUGAGUCCCCUGCAAUAGAGUAAAUAAAGUACAUCUAUGGAAUCCUGGAGUUUCAAACACGUUUCCUGGCUGAGAAACUGAGAUACAGUAGAGUCUCACUUAUCCAACACUCACUUAUCCAACAUUCUGGAUUAUCCAAUGCAUUUUUGUAGUCAAUGUUUUCAAUACAUCGUGAUAUUUUGGUGCUAAAUUAGUAAAUACAGUAAUUACUACAGAGCAUUAAUGCAGUGAUGGCCAACCUAUGACACGCGUGUCAGCACUGACACGCCUAGCCAUUUUUGGUGACACGCUGCCGCAUGCAGAUUGAUUGGAUGACUAUGUCUUUUGUGGCCAAAUUCGGUGUGAUUUGGUCCAGUGGUUUUGUUGUUUACUCCAUGGGAAUUAUGCACAUUACAUUUAUAUAUAAUCACUAGCUGUGCCCUGCCACGCGUUGCUGUGGCCAAUUGGAAUUGCAGUGAGUAGACUCGCUGCUUGUAAGCCUGGGUGCUUUCUAUAUAUGGGCCUCCUUGGUUGGACUGGUUGAAUGGGACGGAGUGCCCUGAUGGCUUCCAAAAGUGAGGGUUUUUGAUGUAGGGGAAAUCUUGGUUGGGCAGGUUGAAGAGGAGUGAAUAGUCUUGGCUGCUUGGAAGCCUGGGCGCUUUCUACUUUGUGGAAUUGUUGGUUGGGAGGUGGAAUAGUAAUGAAUAGUCUGAGUGUAGCAAGUAUGAAUGUUGCAAUUAGUUACCUUGAUUAGCAUUGAAUGGCCUUGCAGGUUCGAGGCCUGGGUGUUUCCUGGUUGAGGGAAUCCUUUUUUGGGAGUUGUUAUCUGGGUGUGAUUGUUUCCUGUCUGGAAUUGCCCUGUCGUCUGAGUGCUGUUGCUAUUGUUCUGUUUUCUUAUUUGAUCAGAGUUAAUUAUUACAUAUGAGAUAGAGUAAUGUUAUGUAUUAAUAAAUGUUAGAUAAG